GCCUGGGUGGCUCAGUUGGUUGGGCGUCUGACUUUGGCUCAGGUCACGAUCUCACGGUUUGUGGGUUCGAGCCUCAUGUCGGGCU
rnacentral:tRNA from 1 species